CAAUCACAGUCCAUAGACCAUGUCUUUUUGCCAUUUAAUGUAUUAGAAUAUGUGUUCAAAGGAAAAGCAGGCAUUUGAAUUGAGGAGGGCAUGUUUGUCUUUACUGUUUUUACUGCUAUGGAGCCAAGGUAAAAUGUAUGCUGGAUCAUUACGUCUGAUCUACCAACGUCUGAGAUGCUCUCUUCUAUAAAAUAUGAGGGAAGGAUAAGCUGUUUUUAAGAGAUGGGUAUAAGAUUUGUCCACAAAUCCCAUUCAGCUGUUUUGAAUGGCUCAAUUGUAUGCCCAUUGGGCAAACACCAAAAGAAUUGAUUCGUCCAUCUAUAGAUUG